rnacentral:rRNA from 1 species
AUUGAACGCUGGCGGCAGGCCUAACACAUGCAAGUCGAACGGUAACAGGAAGCAGCUUGCUGCUUCGCUGACGAGUGGCGGACGGGUGAGUAAUGUCUGGGAAGCUGCCUGAUGGAGGGGGAUAACUACUGGAAACGGUAGCUAAUACCGCAUAAUGUCGCAAGACCAAAGAGGGGGACCUUCGGGCCUCUUGCCAUCGGAUGUGCCCAGAUGGGAUUAGCUUGUUGGUGGGGUAACGGCUCACCAAGGCGACGAUCCCUAGCUGGUCUGAGAGGAUGACCGGCCACACUGGGACUGAGACACGGUCCAGACUCCUACGGAAGGCAGCAGGGGGGAAUAUUGCACAAUGGGCGCAAGCCUGAUGCAGCCAUGCCGCGUGUAUGAAGAAGGCCUUCGGGUUGUAAAGUACUUUCAGCGGGGAGGAAGGGAGUAAAGUUAAUACCUUUGCUCAUUGACGUUACCCGCAGAAGAAGCACCGGCUAACUCC